GUUGUAUUUGUGCGUAUAUGAGCUAUUAUAUUGUAUAUGUUCAUUAGUAGUUUAUGGUAUCGUGUAUGAUACAUAUGAAUGUGGGCUGUGUAUGAGGGCUGCUUGUGGAAUUGUGUGUGGGUGGAUAUGUCACAUUGUGUGCUUGGUAGUGGGGACUGUUUGGGGUAUUGCAUGUGAGAGGCUGCAUGUGGGGUUGUGUGCAUGUAUGUAUAUUGUUAGUGGUGUUGCGUUUGUGGGGAUUGUGUGUUGUGUGUGGGCUGUUCAUAUUAUUUGUAUGAGGGGAGGGUUAUUCUACAUUUCUGUGUAUAUCUAGCAAUGUGGGUGGGUUCCCUGGGUUCCAGUGGGGACCAGGCUGGCCAGGUACAGGUCAAGGACAGGAGAUGCGAUAGCUGUCGAGGGCUGCUCUACUACAGUGUGGAUUCCCAUUCAC